GACGAACGCUGGCGGCGUGCCUAAUACAUGCAAGUCGACGGGGCGGACGGGUGAGUAACACGUGGGUAACCUACCCCUCAGAGGGGGAUAACACUUGGAAACAGGUGCUAAUACCGCAUACUUAUCGAUGGCCUUGCGGUGCAUUAGCUCGUUGGUGGGGUAACGGCCUACCAAGGCAAUGCUGCAUAGCCGACCUGAGAGGUUAAGGGGCAACAUUGGGACGGAGAGACGGCCCAAACUCAUACGGAAGUCAGCAGGGGGGAAGAUUGCACGAUGGGGGCGAGCCUGAUGCAGCCAUGGCACGUGUAUGAAGAAGGCCAUCGGGUUGUAAAGUACUUUCAUCGAUGAGGCGUUACUCGCAGAAGAAGCACCGGCUAACUCCGUGCCAGCAGCCGCGGUAAUAC
rnacentral:rRNA from 1 species